UACGGAGGGAGCUAGCGUUGUUCGGAAUUACUGGGCGUAAAGCGCACGUAGGCGGCUUCGCAAGUCAGAGGUGAAAGCCUGGGGCUCAACCCCAGAAUUGCCUUUGAGACUGCGUCGCUCGAAUCCGGGAGAGGUGAGUGGAAUUCCGAGUGUAGAGGUGAAAUUCGUAGAUAUUCGGAAGAACACCAGUGGCGAAGGCGGCUCACUGGACCGGCAUUGACGCUGAGGUGCGAAAGCGUGGGGAGCAAACAGG
rnacentral:rRNA from 1 species